GCCCUGCUGAGCUCCCACAGGUGCAGAUGUGGACAGUUGCUAUUAAAAUCUAGCAGGGGCACGUCAGCCCCAAGAGCAGCGCAUUGUUGUGCAGGCUGAAAAACAUCCAGCAGCGUUAUCAGACCUGAAUAUUCAGAAAUCUGGAAUCAGACUACAAAGAAGGAAUGAAGAAAGAAAUGCAUCUGGGCUUCUAUCCAAUUUGAUUACUGUCAACCUCAUCCAGCUGAGAAGGGAAAAGACAGAUGUAUUGAUGGUCACCGAAAUGAGAUGGAACAAAAGACAACAACCUGAGCAGAGAAGAAAAGUGUGUUCUGUGAGUCACCAACCACCCAAAAAGUUUGACUGUUAGUUGGCUUAGCUGCUGAGAAGAUGGAUGGAGAUAGGUCCAGCCGACUGUGGUGCCCGAGGGACUUCAGCCCCAGGCUGCCUGUGUGAUGCUAGGUGGUAUCAUUUCAAUGCAGACUAUCACAAGUGUUUUGCUGCCUAAUAUUUAUCAUGAUGGCAGGAGCCAGUUGGCUAGAUACCUUUAGAAUCAGUUGUCCUUCCUCAUUUUGCUAUAAAGAUCUUCCAGAAGAGUACGUUUUCUCAGAAUGAGAUACAAUCUUGGUUAAUCCAUCUAUCUGUUUUUAUUUCUCUUUUUAUUUGUGGAACAACAACCUAUCCCCCCAUCCAAACCGUAUCCCCCAUGACACACUAACUCUGACCACAUGGGUAUAUGCUUAAUUUUAAUGAUAGUUUGGUGUCCCUUAGAUUUGAGCACACACUGACGUACUUGAGUCAAUAACAGUCUCUGCAGAAAUUUCUUGGCUGUGGCUCUAACUGUUGGCUGGUUAUUAGUUUUUGCCUUGAUUUUUACCUAAUUUUGUGUAAUGGAGAACGUGAUACCUUCCUUUCUGAUUAAGGCUUGGCAUUUUAUUUAUGGAAGCAUGUCAAUUGAAAGGUGCAGAAGUGUAAAGUAUUAUUAUUAUUUCUCUAAAUCAUGUUGUCCAUAACUCAGAG
rnacentral:lncRNA from 1 species